AACGAACGCUGGCAGCGUGGAUGAGGCAUGCAAGUCGAACGGGAUCCAGAGAGUAGCAAUACAAUCUGGUGAGAGUGGCGAAAGGGUGAGGAACGCGUGGGUAACCUGCCCUGAAGAUGGGGAUAACCUGCCGAAAGGCGGGCUAAUACCGAAUGUGGUCAUCUCUCGCAUGGGAGAUGAACUGAAGGCGGGGAUUCUUCGGAACCUGUCACUUCAGGAGGGGCCCGCGUCCCAUCAGCUAGUUGGUGAGGUAACGGCCCACCAAGGCUUACGGGUAGCUGGUCUGAGAGGAUGGUCAGCCACACUGGGACUGAGACACUGCCCAGACUCCUACGGGUGCUG
rnacentral:rRNA from 1 species